rnacentral:rRNA from 1 species
UGCCCUAGUAACGGCGAGUGAAGCGGCAACAGCUCAAAUUUGAAAUCUGGCGCAAGCCCGAGUUGUAAUUUGUAGAGGAUGUUUCUGGCGACGUGCCUUCCGAGUUCCCUGGAACGGGACGCCAUAGAGGGUGAGAGCCCCGUACGGUUGGAUGCCUAGCCUCUGUGAAACUCCUUCGACGAGUCGAGUAGUUUGGGAAUGCUGCUCUAAAUGGGAGGUAUACGUCUUCUAAAGCUAAAUACCGGCCAGAGACCGAUAGCGCACAAGUAGAGUGAUCGAAAGAUGAAAAGCACUUUGAAAAGAGGGUUAAAAAGUACGUGAAAUUGUUGAAAGGGAAGCGUUCAUGACCAGACUUGGGCAGGUUGAUCAUCCGUGGUUCUCCGCGGUGCACUCUGCCUGCCCAGGCCAGCAUCAGUUCGCCCCGGGGGAUAAAGACUUUGGGAAUGUGGCUCCCUCGGGAGUGUUAUAGCCCACUGUGUAAUACCCUGGGGUGGACUGAGGUUCGCGCUCUGCAAGGAUGCUGGCGUAAUGGUCAUCAACGACCCGUCUUGAAACACGGACCAAGGAGUCGUCUUCGUAUGCGAGUGUUCGGGUGUCAAACCCCUACGCGUAAUGAAAGUGAACGUAGGAGAGAGCUUCGGCGCAUCUCCGACCGAUCCUGAUGUUCUCGGAUGGAUUUGAGUAAGAGCAUACGGAGCCGGACCCGAAAGAAGGUGAACUAUGCCUGUAUAGGGUGAAGCCAGAGGAAACUCUGGUGGAGGCUCGCAGCGGUUCUGACGUGCAAAUCGAUCGU